UAUAAUAGGAACGGGAGCUUCCUGCUAACACCUGUGACAAAUCCUGCUCAACUGAGAGAAACAGAAAGCCUCUGGAUAGCGGGCAUGUGUAGCAGAAGAAUAAAAAAAGGAGGGACACACAAAAAGAACGCUUGACCUAAAAGUUUCACCACACAACUAACCCGCCACGUCCAGCUCAGCCUUUGUCUCGUUGGUUUGGAUUACAAGAUUCACGACCAGCCCCACUCGUCUGCUGGCUCCAGAGAAACCCCAGCAUAGACUUCAGAUUCUGCCAUUGUUCUCCACCCAUGCUCCAUUUUGAAUUAGACGAGAGCCGGCGGAGUCAGGACUACCAAGAUGGCGACAGGCAGAGCAGUGAUCUUCACAACGGCUCUUCAGAAACCUAUGCAUGUGUCACAGAGACUACGUCCAUUUAUAAUAAUACAGUCAGCUUAAGGAUCCCUUAACUUUUCAUCAAGUGCGUCUUCCUGUCGUCUUUAGUCUCAGCUGUA